UGCCCAGCAACUCCUAUUCCUGCCUCCUCGCGGUACUGGCCGGGGUACAAGUAACCUUAGGGAAGAUCGAACAGUGAGAACUUUGGUCGUAUGCUGACAGGGAAGG
rnacentral:ribozyme from 1 species